CGCGCCCCGCGCAUGCGCCCUGGGCGGCGCGGUAACCUUGGCAGCGCGCCCAUGCGCAUGCGCCCUGCGCGCCUCGCCCUUCCCGCCAUGCUGCCGCUGCCGCCGCACCUCCGCCUGCUCCUCCGUGAGGGGCUCCCGCCGCUCCCUCAGGCUCCCCCAUCCCCGCCUGCCUCUCUGCCCACACCGCCCUUCACCUUCAGCCCCCGCCGCCUCCAGCUCGGCCCGCAGCACCCGCUGCUGGAGGAUGGGGACGUGCACAGGCACCUCUACCUGCAGGGCGUCCUCACCAGCCUCGAGGAGGUGGCCGAGAGGCCCAAGGUGUCCGAGUUCAGCUGCCACAUCUCUGGCUGCAGCCAGGUGUUUGACACACUGGAGGGCUACGAGCACCACUACAACACCCUGCACAGGAAUGUCUGCUCCUUCUGCAAGCGCUCCUUUCCCUCUGGGAACCUCCUGGACAUCCACAUCUUGGAGUGGCACGACUCCCUCUUCCAGAUCAUGGCUGAGAAGCAAAAUAUGUACCAGUGUCUGGUGGAAGGCUGCACAGAGAAGUUCAGGAGCAGCAAGGACAGGAAGGAUCACUUGGUGACUGUGCACCUGUAUCCUGCUGACUUUCGGUUUGACAGGCCCAAGAAGGUGAAAAGUGGCUCCAAGCACACAAACUCUCCUGUGGAGCAGGGCAGCAGCGUGCCCAUGGAUGUGAGCGUGGAGAUGGCAGAGCAAUCCCAAGGGAAUGCCAUGGAAACAGGGCCUGAGGAGAGCAUGGAGAUCUCCCAGCCUGCAGCCAGCCCCGGCCCCUCACUGCCAGAGAAACGGCUCUACAAAUCCAGGUCAGUGCUCUGGCCUCAGGGCAACAGGGGCUGGGACCACUCCAGCUUCUCAGCCCUCUGCAGCAUGGCUUGGGCUGCUCUGUGCUGAGGAUAAACCAGGCAGGAAUUCCAGGUGUGCUUCCAAGGGCAGUUUUGAAAGAAGGAGGUGUAAGGAAGAGCAGGCUGUGGGAGCUGUGUUUAUCUGCCCAGCUGAUCUCUUCCCAAGCUAUUGCAGGUUGCUGCUUCUGCCCUCCUGCUUCUCAUUCUCAACCACUGCAGGAAUCCCAAAAGUGCUUCCAAGGGCAUUUUUGAAAGAAGGAGGUGUAAGGAAGAGCAGGCUGUGGGAGCUGUGUUUGUCUGCCCAGCUGAUCUCUUCCCAAGCUAUUGCAGGAUGCUGCUUCUGCUCUCCUGCUCCUCAUUCUCAACCACUGCAGGAAUCCCAAAAGUGCUUCCAAAGCCAUUUUUGAAAGAAGGAAGGAAGAGCAGGGCAUGGGUAUGCUGUGGGAGCUGUGUUUAUCUGCCCAGCUGAUCUCUUCCCAAAGUAUUGCAGGAUGCUGCUUCUGCUCUCCUGCUCCUCAUUGUCAACCACUGCAGCUGCCCAGGUGUUAAAUUUGGUAACACACCUUGUUGUAAACAGGCCUCCAGAAAGGAAUGUGCAGAGUACACAGGAAAUCCAACCAGUAUUUCACUAAUUCUUUAAAUCAUGUGGUGAUUUACAUGUCCUGCUCCUCGCACACCUUGCUCUUCCCACUCUGGGAGCUUAAAAUGCCCCACAGAUCAUUCAGCAUCCCAGUGAGCCUGGGAGGGCUGGAUCCUCACGUGGAUUAAAGGCUGUCUCCCUUUCCAGGAUCCCUUCCACAAUUUGUUUUGGACAAGGUGCCACCCGAGGAUUUAAAGGACCACGGAAAAAAGUCUGAAGGUCAGUGCAGCAGCUUUGUGCAAGAUGAGCCAGUGCCACCAGGGAUAUUUCCAGUUCCCACUCUGGAAUAAACCAGCCAAACCAGUAAAGCUCUGCCAGCAUUUGGGCACAUGUUCCUGAUGUCAGACAUCACCCAACUGAGUUAAGAAUCCUCAAGAUUUGAGGAAGAGGAACCCAGAAUGUGUGGUGAGGUGUUCAGGAAACUAUCCUGCAGCUGAGGCUGCACAGGAUUGGGUGUGUUAUUUUUUCCCUCUUGGGGAUAAAAAAAAAUGGAAUCAAGAAGUUACAAGAUGACAAGGUGACUGUAUGGAAGCUGGAAUAACUGAGAAGAGAAAAUGGGGGAAAAAAACCCCAUUGGUCCUCAGUUCUGACUUCCUCCAACUCGCUGAAGUCUCCUCUGCACCCCAGCUCCUGCUCUGAAAGGUCUGUCUGGGCCAGGAGAAGCAUUUUCACAGGGAG